rnacentral:rRNA from 1 species
GACGAACGCUGGCGGCGUGCCUAAUACAUGCAAGUAGAACGCUGAAGGAGGAGCUUGCUUCUCUGGAUGAGUUGCGAACGGGUGAGUAACGCGUAGGUAACCUGCCUGGUAGCGGGGGAUAACUAUUGGAAACGAUAGCUAAUACCGCAUAAGAGUAGAUGUUGCAUGACAUUUGCUUAAAAGGUGCAAUUGUAUCACUACCAGAUGGACCUGCGUUGUAUUAGCUAGUUGGUGGGGUAACGGCUCACCAAGGCGACGAUACAUAGCCGACCUGAGAGGGGGAUCGGCCACACUGGGACUGAGACACGGCCCAGACUCCUACGGGAGGCAGCAGUAGGGAAUCUUCGGCAAUGGACGGAAGUCUGACCGAGCAACGCCGCGUGAGUGAAGAAGGUUUUCGGAUCGUAAAGCUCUGUUGUAAGAGAAGAACGAGUGUGAGAGUGGAAAGUUCACACUGUGACGGUAUCUUACCAGAAAGGGACGGCUAACUACGUG